rnacentral:lncRNA from 1 species
ACAGCUUUGGACAAAAGUCUACAGCCAGUGCAUUUGAAACUCCCUGUGCACAAGGGCCAGUGUAGCUGGGGGAAGACAUUUUACUCCUUUGCGCUCUCCCUUCCCACAGUCAGCUGGUCCCUCUUCUCAGGUGUAGAUCACCCAUUAGGAUUUCACAUAACUCUGAUAGUCCGCUGAGGAAAGUCCCAGGACUUAGCAGCUGGGAUAGGCCUCACUUAAAGGCACCUCU